rnacentral:tRNA from 1 species
CUAAAAAUAGUUUAAUAAAAAUUUGGGCUUUGGGGGCUUAAGAUCUCUUUAAAUUUUUGAGUUUUUUGU